UGGCCAUAUAAUGUUAAAACAGUGGUUUUGAUACAAUCACCAAAGUUAAGCAACAUCAAGCCUGGUCAGUACCUAGAUGGGUGAUCGCUUGGGAAUACCAGGUGCUGUAAG